CCUACGGGCGGCAGCAGUGGGGAAUAUUGGACAAUGGGGGCAACCCUGAUCCAGCCAUGCCGCGUGUGUGAAGAAGGCCCUCGGGUUGUAAAGCACUUUCAGUGAGGAAGAACGCCUGGUGGUUAAUACCCAUCAGGAAAGACAUCACUCACAGAAGAAGCACCGGCUAACUCCGUGCCAGCAGCCGCGGUAAUACGGAGGGUGCGAGCGUUAAUCGGAAUUACUGGGCGUAAAGCGCGCGUAGGUGGCUUGAUAAGCCGGUUGUGAAAGCCCCGGGCUCAACCUUGGAACGGCAUCCGGAACUGUCAAGCUAGAGUGCAGGAGAGGAAGGUAGAAUUCCCGGUGUAGCGGUGAAAUGCGUAGAGAUCGGGAGGAAUACCAGUGGCGAAGGCGGCCUUCUGGACUGACACUGACACUGAGGUGCGAAAGCGUGGGUAGCAAACAGGAUUAGAUACCCGAGUAGUC
rnacentral:rRNA from 1 species